AUGCGAAACACACACACAUUGUGGGAUUCGUACACACAUUGUGGGAUUCGUAAACACAUAGCACGCGAAACACACACACAUCGUGGGAUUCGUACACACAUAGCACGCGAACCACACACAUUGUGGGAUUCGUAAACACAUAGCACGCGAAACACACACACAUCGUGGGAUUCGUAAACACAUAGCACGCGAAACACAAACACAUUCACCAAAUGUGUGUGUGAAUUGUUUUACGCGCAUUUGUAACGUGCUUCCAAUUACAAAUUCCCACUUACGAAUACAAAUUCCCACUUACGAAUGUGUGGAUCGUUUUGAUACCCGUCAUGCGCAACUGAGAAGAACACAUGCAUUUUUUUAACUGGAGCCCGUCUUCAGCCAAUCAGACGUCUUCUUCUUAAACAGCCAAUCACAAGGGCUGGGCUGUUUCGUUACGUCACUGCUGUGCGCCUUCAAGUCCGGCUGGAGAUUCCUUUUAGACUACAACGCAGUUCAUGCGGUUGUCGUGCGGUUGGUGUACAACAUGGAGAAGAGGUUCCAGGAGAUUUUCAAUUUUAUGUCUAGGGGUGAAUUCCCUAAUUUAUAGUGAAUCUCAGAAAUGUGCUUUAAGAAGAUAUAUGCAGAAGCUCAAACUGAAGGUCCCAAACAGAAGCACGAUCACUGUUUAAUGAAGUACACUCGGCUUCAAUUGGUGCACACACAGGCACUGUUAAAACCAGAUCCUCAAUGUACUCCAGAAAUUAUUGGGAUGGCAUGACGGUGGACAUUGACUGAUGGGUCUCUGAAUGCGACGGAUGUCAGAGGACUGGUAACUCUUUGGCUGUGUGUGACACAGCCAUUACAAAGCAUUAAGGUGUCUGCUGUUUGGGAGUUGGUUGGGAUAGACCUGACUGGGCCUCUCCCAAAAACCAAGGAUGGCUUUCAGUACAUUCUUACUGCCACCGAUUAUUUUUCCAAACACAGAUGCCCCCAAAGAAUCCUGUCCGACCAAGGAAGAGAAUUUGUCAAUUAGCUCAACGAUAACCUUUGUGCCUCCUGUGCAUUGAAAGGAGUGUUACAGCUGCAUAUCAUCCUAAGACGAAUGGGCUGGAUGAGAGGACAAAUAGCAAACAUAAAACGGCAAGUUGUUGUUGGUGUUCUAAAAUGUAUAUCUAAUUGUACCCUUCUACUUCGUACAGCUCUUACAAAAUUGGUGAACGACCGACAGGAUUUGUUUGGUGGUUUGGCCUAUUCAGUAGAUAAUUUUGACCGGAUGGUCAUCUGGUCAAGUGCCGUAAAUAAUAACUUUUUUGAUUUAACAAUGUUGUGUUUUCAGUUAAAUUACUGUGGGCUGCAGAGGAUCAAGGCAAGGUGGAGGCUGUCGUUGGACCGUAUAAAUUAUAUGACACAUCUUUUCAUACGCUAAAAGGCAACGGCUGGCUGUCUGAUGAAGAGCCCAUUCACCAACUCUCUGCUGUGGUAGCUGGGAGUCUGCUUUUGGGAAAAUUUCAGCCUGUUAGAAAGGUAAUCCAUUUCAUGCCAAUAUUUAGCUAUAUUAUUUUAACGCCAGUAACCCAAAAUAACAAUAAUUUGGUAUUGUAUGUUCUUCAGAGGAAAUUCCCUGUUGAAAAAAAAAGUGUAUUUGUCCUGUCCUGUCCUGUAUGCGCUCAUUGGAUUUUAGUGGUUAGUGGGUUUCUUAUAUUUUCUUAAGACCUACCGAUUCUGGAAUGUAUUAUAUAUAGCUAUUAAUUUAGCUGAUGCCAUACAGAAGUUAAAUUUCAUUAGUAAGUUAACUACAUAAAUCUGUCAUUGUGCAGAAUUACACAAAGGAACUAACCUUUUAUAGAUUGUCCACAUUUCUAAGAGAACACUGGUGAUCAACGAUCCCUUGAGUAACGAGGACAAAUAUGAGCAAAAUCUUGCGGAAUUGGAGGAACUUCUUGAGGUUGGCGGGCCGUGAGUUCCAAAUAGAAACUUGGACUACCAAAACUGUGGCCCAUAACAAGCAGCAGAACAACAGUAGCUGUGGGGUUUUCACAUUAAAGUUUGCGGAAGAGUAUAUGGCCAAUGGAGAUCUCAGGCACAACCAGACCCACCUUCCCGAAGUUCUGAAGGCUCGAGGAGAUCUAGCCUGUGCCCUCCUACAGGCUGGGAGUCUGAGAUGUCUAUUUAAAUUAAAAAAAUGUCUCAAAACUUA